UUGGGAGAAAUAAACUCGACUUUCUUCACUUUUUUGCGACAUGCUGGCAGCGUCGCCUGUCCGUGUUUUCUUCCCCUGUGGCCAAAUCCUGCCACCAGAUAAGUCUCGCUCCAGAGAUGGCAGUGGAGGUGGCGGGGUCACGUCUGAGACAAGAGACACUGGUGGGCACCUUGGUGAAUAACGGAGCGGGUUUGGGCUACUGUUCUCAAAGACCCAGUUUGGCAAGGCCCAGGGCAAAAAGAGACACCAUCUACUCCAGGAAGAUGUCCGAGCAGGGAUGGAGGAAGAGUGAGUGAGUAGAGGGGUAGGACUCCGGCAGGAUCACCUGGUCAAAAUCAUGCAUCUACAAUGCCAAGUCCAGCAAACCUCCAUGUCUGGGGGAAGAAUGAGACACCUACCUGCCCACGUUGCUCUAGAAGAGGCUCAUUAGAACAUCUUCUCAGCAGCAGCCCUAAGGCUCUUGCAGAUGGCCACUAUCGUUGACAAGACCGCCUAAACCAAGACCAAGACAAUACUAAGACAAGAGGGUACCAAGACUGAGAACCGAAAAAAACAAAAAACAGACUAGUGUUGAAGUUACACCAUAACUUGCAUGAAUUGAAGAACAGCAGCAUACUGGGGUUCAGCUUACAUUCAAUACAUAUUAGAAGGUAUUGUUUCAACUACAGGCAGAACAAUACAGAGACAGAGUUUAUGUCAUGUGAGCUCACUCACUCACUGAGAUAAUGUGUAGCAAAUUGCAUGACGGCUCUUACUGCACUAUUAGCGGAUUGUGACUCCCUUAACUUUUGUGUGUUGUUGAGGACUGACAUGACUGCUACUGACUGGUCCCAAAGUCAUCUGACAAAACAGCUAACACCUCCAACACCAUCUUUCACCUCCAACAACUGUCUAAAGAAUGGGAAAUAUGUAACUGAUUUAAAUCAUAUGUCAUUGGUCAUCAAAUUGAAGACACACAAUAAUAAACUUGAAAUUGCAUCUUGUCCCAUUGAAGUAGCCAAAAUACUCUGUAUGAUAUCAACUUCCCAGAAACAUUAAUAAAAAUAAGGACAAGUGCUUAGACAAUUCUGACAUCUUGAUGUCUGCAGUGGCAUGUGAUUACAACACGUUUUUAGGAUUGUUAAGUAUUUUUAACUGAUCUACAGUCCGGCAUUGUUCCACUUGAUUUGUGUGUCAGACAUCUCUUCCUGUGACUUGUAGUCAAGACCGCCUAAACCGAGACAAAGACAAGACCGAGACCACGUAAAAGUGGUCUCGAGACCGGAUUCAAGAUGCUUCUUGAAUAUGUAAAAGCUGUAAAUUUGUGGCCUGUAAAUGUCAGGUUUUGUAAUACCUGGUCAGUGUUGAACCCGUCAGAAGAGACUGUCUAACAGUGAAAUAAAGCAGCAAAUAUAUUUGUAAGACAUUGUAAACUUA